UUUUGUGUUUUUGCUUUGGGACACAGAAAGUAGUUCCGUUGUGGUUUGUUCGCUGCCGCAGCGAGGGAGUGCCCUAGCUCACGAGCUUGGCAUCUACGCCAAGUCGCGUCUCAGAAAUCCGUUUCUUUCUCUCUAUCGUUCCGAUUUUGAAGCCGCGUCGCGAGGAGAAAGCAAUGGAUGAGGGAAAGCAUAAAUCAAGGAAGGAAGAUUAUGAAGUGAAAGAAGGGGAUUCUAAGAAGAAUCACCGUGAUCGAGAUCGUGAUAGGGGUAAGGAUAGAAGUGAUGGGAGGCACAGGGAUAGGGAGAAGAGGGACCGUGAGUCCCGACGACAUGAAAGAGAGAAGAGUACUGAUUCUGAAGACAUGUAUGAUAGAGACAGGGAGAAGCGCAAAGAUAAAGAUAAGGAUAGGACACGACUUCAGGAUGUGGACAGGGAAAGAGCUCGAGACAAGAAAAGGGAAAGGGAAAGGGAAAGGGAAAGGGAGAGGGAAGACAGGGAAAGAGAGAGAACAGACAGAAUAAGGGAGAAAGAAAGAGAGAGGGGAAGAAAAGAGGAUAAGGAGAGGAGCAGAGAGAGAGAGAGAGAGAGGGAGAGGGAAAGGAGGGAUCACGAGAGGGAGAAGGAAAAGGAAAGAGAAAGGGGGAGGAGAGCACGAGAGAGAGAGAAGCGUAGGGAAGUUGAUAGUGAUUACAGUGAUGGUGAAUCCAAGGAGAGAGAUAGGAAGCGGCAUAGGAAAGAGGAUGAUGAUUACAAGAGGAGAGAGAGGGAAAAGAGUCUCAGCAAGCCAAACAGGCAAUUAGAGGAGCAAGAAGCAAGUCCAAGAAAAAAAAAUGGUGGAGAUGACUCAGAUACCAAAGACGAAGAGAGAAAACCUUCUCGUGAAGAGGAGAUGGAGGAUGAACAAAGGAGGUUGGAUGAAGAAAUGGAAAAGCGGAGGAGGAGAGUUCAAGAGUGGCAAGAACUAAGGAGGAAGAAGGAAGAAGCCGAAAGAGAAAAGCAUGGUGAAGCAAGUGCUAAUGAACCUGAGUCUGGAAAGACCUGGACGCUUGAAGGGGAAUCUGAUGAUGAAGAAGGAUCGGGUACUGGGAAGCAGGAUGCAGCUAUGGAUGUAGAUGAGGAUGACAAACCUGCUGAUCAAGAACCUAGAGAUUUGAUGGUGGCAGAUGUUGAUAAUGGGACAGUUGCAUCUGAUUUACAGGAUGGAACUGCUGGUGCUCCUGCAGAUGAGGAAAUUGAUCCAUUGGAUGCUUUCAUGAAUUCUAUGGUUCUACCUGAAGUUGAAAAGCUGAACAAUGCUGUGACAUCAUCAGUUUCUGAUAAAGAUGUUGAUUUGAAAUCCAAAGAUAAAGGGGAUGAGCAUAGUCGUGGUGCACAGUCUAGGAAAGGUUCAAAUAAGUCUAUUGGCAGAAUAAUUCCUGGUGAAGAGUCUGACUCAGAUUAUGCAGAUCUUGAAAUCGAGAAAGAUCCAUUGGAUGAGGAUGAUGAUGAGUUCAUGAAAAGAGUGAAGAAGACAAAAGCUGAGAAGCUUUCUUUAGUUGAUCACUCAAAGAUUGAUUAUAAGCCAUUCAAGAAAAUUUUUUAUAUUGAAGUGAAGGAGAUCUCAAAGAUGACUCCUGAAGAAGCUGCAGUAUACAGGAAGCAGUUGGAGUUGAAGAUACAUGGAAAGGAUGUGCCAAAGCCUAUAAAAUCAUGGCACCAGACUGGACUUACUAGCAAAAUUUUGGAGACAAUAAAAAAGUUGAACUUUGAAAAGCCAAUGCCUAUUCAAGCUCAGGCACUCCCUGUAAUCAUGAGUGGUCGAGAUUGCAUAGGGAUUGCUAAAACUGGGUCAGGCAAAACACUUGCUUUUGUUCUGCCAAUGCUGAGGCAUAUCAAGGAUCAGCCACCAGUUGUUGCAGGAGAUGGACCUAUUGGGCUUAUUAUGGCUCCUACAAGGGAACUUGUUCAGCAAAUCCACAGUGACAUAAAAAAGUUCACUAAGGUAAUGGGUCUCAGAUGUGUGCCUGUGUAUGGGGGUUCUGGUGUUGCUCAACAAAUUAGUGAGUUGAAACGUGGUGCUGAGAUAGUGGUUUGUACUCCUGGUAGGAUGAUUGACAUACUAUGCACCAGUAGUGGAAAAAUAACUAACUUGCGUAGAGUCACUUAUCUAGUCAUGGAUGAGGCUGAUCGAAUGUUUGACAUGGGCUUUGAACCUCAGAUCACACGAAUUGUUCAGAAUAUUCAGCCGGAUCGACAAACGGUUCUGUUCUCUGCUACUUUUCCCCGUCAGGUUGAAAUUCUGGCUCGAAAGGUUUUGAAUAAACCUGUUGAAAUACAAGUGGGUGGAAGGAGUGUUGUGAACAAAGACAUAACACAGCUAGUUGAGGUGAGGCCAGAAAAUGAGAGGUUCCUUAGACUCUUAGAAAUAUUGGGGGAAUGGUAUGAGAAAGGAAAAAUCUUGAUAUUUGUCCACUCACAGGAAAAAUGUGAUAGUUUGUUCAAGGAUCUGCUCAGGCAUGGUUAUCCAUGCCUUUCUCUCCAUGGGGCUAAGGACCAGACAGACCGAGAAUCCACAAUAUCUGAUUUUAAAAGCAAUGUAUGCAGUUUGUUGGUUGCAACAAGUGUUGCUGCCCGGGGAUUAGAUGUUAAGGAGCUUGAGUUGGUGAUCAAUUUUGAUGUUCCGAACCACUAUGAAGAUUAUGUUCAUCGUGUUGGGCGUACUGGCCGAGCUGGCCGAAAGGGAUGUUCCAUUACAUUUAUUUCUGAGGAAGAGGCAAGAUAUGCACCUGAUCUGUUGAAGGCCUUGGAACUAUCUGAGCAGAUUGUUCCCAAUGAUCUGAAAGCUCUUGCUGAUAGCUUUAUGGCAAAAGUGAAUCAAGGACUGGAACAAGCACAUGGGACUGGUUAUGGAGGCAGUGGCUUUAAAUUUAAUGAAGAGGAAGAUGAGGUGAGGAGAGCAGCAAAGAAAGCACAAGCCAAGGAAUAUGGGUUUGAAGAAGACAAGUCAGAUUCUGAAGAUGAAGAUGAAGGUAUUAGGAAGGCUGGAGGUGAUAUUUCACAGCAUCCUGCACUUGCUCAGAUUUUGGCUGCCACUAAAGCGAGUGCUCCUGCAUUGCCUACUCCCAUCUCUGCUGCUCAGAUGAUUUCAAAUGGUGGAUUGCCUGUUUCUUUGCCAGCUGUUCUUGGUCUCCAGACUGCAACAGUUUUGCCUGGAACUGGGCUACCCCUUGCUGCAAAUGAUGGGGCAGCCCGAGCAGCAUUAGCUGCUAUAAACUUGCAACACAAUUUAGCAAAAAUACAAUCAGAAGCAUUGCCAGAACAUUAUGAGGCUGAGUUGGAAAUAAAUGAUUUCCCUCAGAAUGCUCGGUGGAAAGUUACACACAAGGAAACUUUAGGCCCCAUUUCUGAGUGGACUGGAGCUGCCAUUACCACCAGGGGGCAGUAUUUCCCACCUGGCAAAAUCCCGGGACCUGGGGAACGCAAACUCUACUUAUUCAUUGAAGGUCCUACUGAGCAGUCUGUUAAGAGAGCUAAAGCAGAGUUGAAACGUGUACUGGAAGAUAUCACAAAUCAGGCUUUGCAACUUCCUGGUGGAACUCAACCUGGCAAAUACUCUGUUGUGUAAGGUCAACGUGAAGGCAUAAUGGGACUCUGUUAAACACUCUUAUCUCGCGCCCCAAUCUGGGACAUGUUGCGCAUAUUGUCUGCCUUUCUUACCCAUUCGUUGUCAUACAGGUGGGUCUUUUGAGCCUAUGCUUGCAUGUGCAAUGAUUCUCCAUCCAUUGUGCUUGCAUUGCAUCGGCGUUGUCCAAGGUGCGCUGAUCAUGGUGCGACUUUUCUUUCAUCUAGGUCCUGUUUGAUUUGAGGGGAACAUCUCUGAACACUGAUUUUUGCCCAAUGUUAUCCGGGUACAAGAGUUGUAGAAUUUACGAUGCUACUUUGGGUUAAUUUAUCUAAUUAAACGUGUGCAUCUUUCAGGUUUUGAUUCGGUGUCCUUUUGUAUGGGAAACAAGAUGUGAUGGGGAGACCGCAUAUUCAGUUGUUAAUUAAUGCAUUUGCCUUAUCACCACUGUUUGCAUUUCAGCACAUGUACCAUAACAGAGUAUCUUUCUAAUUUAAAGUUUACCAUAGAAUGAAAAUGCUUGAGAUGGCUUCUAAAUCGUCAGUUUGGGCUCAGAAUUCAUAAGAUCUUUGCCCCUUGUGCUUUUUUCGUGAAAUUCAACAAUUCUUUUCUGUUGUAAUUCUUACGAAUAUUGUAAAAUUUUAUUUGGCUUGCUUAAAGCAUUUUUAGGAAUUAUUGGUGAAAUAUUCUUAAAUAUGGAAUUACCGGACAUUAUGUGGACCGUGGACCG